UGCGUAGGCGGCGGGGUAAGUCGGAUGUGAAAUCCCGGGGCUCAACCCCGGAACUGCAUUCGAUACUGCCUUGCUAGAGUACUGGAGAGGAGACUGGAAUUUACGGUGUAGCAGUGAAAUGCGUAGAUAUCGUAAGGAAGACCAGUGGCGAAGGCGAGUCUCUGGACAGUUACUGACGCUGAGGCACGAAAGGGCCACGGGAAGGGCAAACG
rnacentral:rRNA from 1 species